rnacentral:rRNA from 1 species
AUUGAACGCUGGCGGCAGGCCUAACACAUGCAAGUCGAGCGGUAGAGAGAAGCUUGCUUCUCUUGAGAGCGGCGGACGGGUGAGUAAUGCCUAGGAAUCUGCCUGAUAGUGGGGGAUAACGUCCGGAAACGGACGCUAAUACCGCAUACGUCCUACGGGAGAAAGUGGGGGGCUCUUCGGACCUCACGCUAUCAGAUGAGCCUAGGUCGGAUUAGCUAGUUGGUGGGGUAAAGGCUCACCAAGGCGACGAUCCGUAACUGGUCUGAGAGGAUGAUCAGUCACACUGGAACUGAGACACGGUCCAGACUCCUACGGGAGGCAGCAGUGGGGAAUAUUGGACAAUGGGCGCAAGCCUGAUUCAGCCAUGCCGCGUGUGUGAAGAAGGCCUUCGGGUUGUAAAGCACUUUCAGUAGGGAGGAAGGGUCGUUACCUAAUACGUGACGAUUUUGACGUUACCGACAGAAUAAGCACCGGCUAACUCUGUGCCAGCAGCCGCGGUAACAC